UACGUAGGGGGCAAGCGUUAUCCGGAUUUACUGGGUGUAAAGGGAGCGUAGGCGGCAAGGUAAGCCAGAAGUGAAAGCCCGCGGCUCAACUGCGGGACUGCUUUUGGAACUAUCUAGCUAGAUUGCAGGAGAGGCAAGUGGAAUUCCUAGUGUAGCGGUGAAAUGCGUAGAUAUUAGGAGGAACACCAGUGGCGAAGGCGGCCUGCUGGGCUUUUACUGACGCUGAGGCUCGAAAGCGUGGGUAGCAAACAGG
rnacentral:rRNA from 1 species